rnacentral:rRNA from 1 species
GACGAACGCUGGCGGCGUGCUUAACACAUGCAAGUCGAACGGAAAGGCCCUGCUUUUGUGGGGUGCUCGAGUGGCGAACGGGUGAGUAACACGUGAGUAACCUGCCCUUGACUUUGGGAUAACUUCAGGAAACUGGGGCUCAUACCGGAUAGGAGCUCCUGCUGCAUGGUGGGGGUUGGAAAGUUUCGGCGGUUGGGGAUGGACUCGCGGCUUAUCAGCUUGUUGGUGGGGUAGUGGCUUACCAAGGCUUUGACGGGUAGCCGGCCUGAGAGGGUGACCGGCCACAUUGGGACUGAGAUACGGCCCAGACUCCUACGGGAGGCAGCAGUGGGGAAUAUUGCACAAUGGGCGGAAGCCUGAUGCAGCAACGCCGCGUGCGGGAUGACGGCCUUCGGGUUGUAAACCGCUGUCUCCUGUGACGAAGCGUGAGUGACGGUAAUGGGUAAAGAAGCACCGGCUAACUACGUG